UUUCUGCUCCCCGCCAGAGCCACCCGUUAUGGACCACUGGGCGCACCUGGACCUGCGCGACGUGCCAGGGCUGGGUAUAUAGCUCAGCGGUGCAUCCGGUCUGGCAAGCGUGAGGUCCUGAGUUCGAGUUCUGAUACUAAAAAGACAAGACAUCCAGGCUCCUUGUCGAUCCUGUGGUCAUCCCUCUAUAGGGUGACCUCUCUGCCUGGACGAGAUGGCAUCGCCUUUCUUUGCCGACUUUGGCCUCAUGUGGUACCUGCAGGAGCUCAAGAAGAAGGAAUUCAUGAGGUUCAAGGAGCUGUUCAAGCAGGAGACCUCACAGCUCGGCCUCAGGCAGAUCCCCUGGGCUGAGGUGAAGAGGGCGUCACGGGAAGAGCUGGCCAGCCUGCUGCUUGAGCACUAUGAGGAGCAGCAGGCCUGGGAUGUGACCUUUAGGGUCUUCCAGAGGAUGGACAGGCAGGACCUCUGCGAGAGGGCCACAAGGGAGAGCACUGGUCAUUCCAAGAUGUAUCAGGCUCAUGUGCGGGAGAAAUUCUGCAGUAUCUUGGUCAAGGAAGCCAUCCCCGCAAUCCACAAAAGCUAUGAUGAGAAUAUCAUCCAGGACGAGCUCCAAUAUGUGGAAUCCCUCUUCACCCCCAAGACACCCGGGAAGGUGGUCCACACUGUACUCCUGAGAGGAAAACAAGGAUCUGGGAAGACCCAUCUCCUGACCAAGCUCAUGCUGGCCUGGUCCAGGGGCCACCUCUAUCUGGACAGGUUCUUUUACAUCUUCUACUUUUGCUGCCAGGAACUGAAGCACCUGCCAGUGACGAGCUUGGCGGAGCUGAUCUCCAGCACCUGGCCCGAUGCCUCGGCCCCUGUGAGCCAGAUCCUGGCGCACCCUGAGAAGAUCCUGUUCCUGGUGGAUGGCUUGGAGCAGCUGGGGUGUGACCUGAGCGAGCCCGAGAGUGAGCUGUGCCAGGGCUGGGGGGAGGCACGGCCGCCGCGGCUGCUGCUGAGCAGUUUGCUGAAGAGGAAGAUGGUGCCAGAGUGCUGCCUGCUCAUCACGGUGACCAUGGAGUUUGGGCUGGAGCUGGAGGCCCGGCUGGCCGACCCCGAGGUCAGGAUGCUCAUGGGCUUCGGUAACAGAGACAUCCAGGAAUGCCUCUACCGUGUGUUUCAAGACUUGCAGCAGGCCACGGAGGCCUUCUGCAUCAUACAGCAGAAUGCACAGAUCCUGGAGCUGUGCCGGCUGCCCGUGCCCUGCUGGCUGGUCAGCACCGUCCUGAAGCUCGAGAUGGACCGAGGUGCAGACAUGGCGCAUGCCUGCUCGCGGUCCACCCCCCUGUACGCCUCCUUCCUCUUCCACCUCUUCACGCCCAGGAUGCCCGAGGGCCCCAGCUGGCAGGGCCAGGCCCAGCUGCACAGCCUGUGCUCCCUGGCUGUCCAGGGCAUGUGGGCCAACUGCAUGGUGUUUGGGGAGCAGGACCUCAGGAGGAACGGAAUCGCAGACUCCGACCUCCCUGCCUUGCUGGAGCUCAGGAUCCUGCUGCGGUGUCGAGGGCCCGAGCCCCGCUACAAGUUCCUGCACUCGUCCAUCCAGGAGUUCUGCGCUGCCCUCUUCUACUUGCUCAAGAGCCCUGGCCACCACCCGCACCCAGCCGUGGCGGGUACACAAGACCUCCUGCUGACCUUCCUGGACAAGUCCAGGACACACUGGGUGUUUCUGGGGUGUUUCCUGUUCGGUCUCUUGCAUGAAAGGGAGAGGCAGAGGCUGGACACAUUUUUUGGCUUCCAGCUGUCCAAUGAGGUAAAACAGCAGCUGUAUCAGUGCCUGAAAGUCCUGGGGCAGACCAAAGACCUACACAAGAAGGUCCACCUGUUGGCCUUGUUCUAUUGUCUGUUCGAGAUGCAGGAUGAGGCCUUCGUCAGGCAGGCCAUGGCCCUGCUGCAGGAGCUCACCUUCCCCAUCUCCAGCAGGACCGACCUUGAGGUUUCUGCCCACUGCCUAAAGCACUGCUCCAACCUGAGGCAGCUCAGCCUUUCCAUGAAGCUCGUCCUCACGAGAGGCGAGAAAGGGCAGGGCUCCGAGUCAGACUCUGACCUCCUGCACUGGUACCAGGUGUGCUCUGUGCUCACCACCAAUGGGCACCUCCAUACACUGCGGGUGAAAGACAGCACCCUCAGCGAGCCUGCCUUCGCUGUGCUGUUUAACCAGUUGAGCCAGCCCAAUUGCAUCCUGGAGAAUCUCUUGAUGACAAAUGUGAACUUCCACUGUGAGAGCUGGCGUCUCUUCGAGGUGCUCAUGCAUAACCCGAACCUGAAGCACCUGAACCUCUCCAACACCAGGCUGGGCCACGAGGACGUGAAGUGGCUGAGGGACAUGCUGAACCACCCUACCUGCCAUGUGAACAAGCUGGUGCUGGUUAACUGCAAGCUGAAGGCUGACGAGUGCAGGGUCUUUGCCUCUAUCCUAAUGGACAACAGGAAGAUCAGGUACCUGAAUCUGGCCUCCAAUCACCUGGGCAAGGGCGUGCGAGCCCUGUGCAAGGCUCUCUGCCACCCUGACUCUACCCUGAAUCUCCUGGGACUGGCCUUCUGCUCCCUGAGUAACUGGUGCUGGGAUUACCUCGCCGAAGUUCUCCUGACCAACAGAACCCUGAAGGUCCUGGACCUCAGCCUAAACAUCAUGAGGGAUGAGGGGCUGAAUGUGCUCUGUGAGGCCCUGCGAUUCCCGUCCUGCAGCCUGGAGGUGCUGUGGUGGGUCCUUUGGAUCGAUUUUGAUGCAAUGUUCCAUCACGGAGGAGGGCUGCAGAGACCUGGCCGCCGCCCUCACCACCAAUGGGAACCUGAGAAACCUGCAGCUCAGCGGCAACCUCUUGAAGGACACAGGCGUGAAGCUGCUCUGUGGGGCUCUGGCACAGCCCAGCUGCCACAUGGAGUACCUGGGGCUGGAGGACUGCGGCCUAACGGGAGCCUGCUGCGGUGACCUGGCCACCGUGCUCACCAGCAGCAGGACCUUGAUCCUACUGAACCUGAUUGACAACCGCCUGGGCCACCACGGGGUGGUGCUGCUGUGUGAGGGUCUCAGGCACCCCGACUGCAACCUGCAUUUGCUGGGACUGCGGAGAACUAUGUUCCGGCCAGAGACCCAGGCACUUCUGCUGGACGAGGAAGAGAGGAAUCCCAACCUGAUCAUCACGGAUGACUGGUGACACAGACAUGAGGACACAGCAGGAUAGGGGUCAGGCUACGAGCACCUGGAUGCUCAUGGGGACUCUGAGGGACAGUUCAUGUGGAUGCCUGCAUGAACACCUGAGAAGUCACCUGUGUGGACACCUGAGGGGCAAUCUUCAUGGACACCUGUAAGGUCCACUGUGUGGAAACCUGGGUAGACACCUAAGGGACAACCUGCAUGGACACCUGUGAGGUCACCUGUAUGGACACCUGCAUAGACAUCUGAAGGAUGACCUGCAUGGACACCUGUGUGGAUACCUGCAGAGGGUGCUGCCUGGCAUCUGUCUGUGCCUGGGGACUGAGAAUCACUGACAAUGGCUCUGCCUACCCGGGUCACAUGAGCUUCGUGGCACAGACGUGGUUUUUAAUUUGCUCUAUGGUCUCGGCUGAGCCACCGCAAGAGCUCCAUGAUGAAAUUUGUAUCCUAUCUACAAUAGCCUUUUAAAUUCCUAAUAAAGUCCUAUUUCUUA